UGGGUCGACUGGACGAUCGCGUGCCGCGCAAGCGGCCCGAGGAAAGUCCGGGCUCCACAGAACAGGGUGGUGGGUAACGCCCACUCGGGGUAACCCGCAGGCUAGUGCCACAGAAAUGAGACCGCCUGCCUCAGGGCAGGUCAGGGUGAAACGGUGGUGUAAGAGACCACCAGCGUCCCGGGUGACCGGGACGGCUAGGUAAACCCCACCUGGAGCAAGGCCAGACAGGCGCUGAUUGAGGGCUGUUCGCCCGAGGCGCUGGGUAGGCCGCUUGAGGCCAUCGGCAACGGUGGCCCUAGAUAGAUGAUCGUCUCUCGCGCCGGGUGACCGCGCGCGAAGCCAGAACCCGGCUCACAGGUCGGCCCAUCCC
rnacentral:RNase_P_RNA from 1 species